rnacentral:rRNA from 1 species
UACGGAGGGGGCUAGCGUUGUUCGGAAUUACUGGGCGUAAAGCGCGCGUAGGCGGAUCUGCAAGUCGGGGGUGAAAUCCCGAGGCUCAACCUCGGAACUGCCUUCGAUACUGCGGGUCUCGAGUCCGGGAGAGGUGAGUGGAAUUCCUAGUGUAGAGGUGAAAUUCGUAGAUAUUAGGAAGAACACCAGUGGCGAAGGCGGCUCACUGGCCCGGAACUGACGCUGAGACGCGAAAGCGUGGGGAGCAAACAGG